rnacentral:miRNA from 1 species
UAUUAGGUUGGUGCAAAAGUAAUUGCAGUUUUUGCCAUCAAUUUUAAUGGCAAAAACCGUAAUUACCAUUCCACUAAUCUAA